rnacentral:rRNA from 1 species
CAGCAGCCACGGUAAUACAGAGGGUGCGAGCGUUAAUCGGAUUUACUGGGCGUAAAGCGUGCGUAGGCGGCUUCUUAAGUCGGAUGUGAAAUCCCUGAGCUUAACUUAGGAAUUGCAUUCGAUACUGGGAAGCUAGAGUAUGGGAGAGGAUGGUAGAAUUCCAGGUGUAGCGGUGAAAUGCGUAGAGAUCGGGAGGAACAUCAGUGGCGAAGGCGGCCAUCUGGGACAACACUGACGCUGAGGCACGAAAGCGUGGGGAGCAAACAGGAUUAGAUACCCCGGUAGUCCCUGUCUCUUAUAC